CACAUCAGUCGGCCUAGCCGAGGGGUCUGGGGAUGGCCACGGCACUGGCAGGCAGACGCCGCCGCGGCUGCCGCUCUGCGGAGUGCGGACUAGCAGCCUAGCCAGGCUGAGGACGAGGGGCGGCGGCGAUGGGGCUCCCCAGGCCAGAAGCCCCGGCAGGGUGACUGACUUUGGUAGCCAAACAUUCUUGGCUGAAUCCCUCUGAGGGUGUCCAGAGUGCGUUCCUGCUUUCCUGCGGCCACUGAUAAACCUCUUCUCCAUGAAUUUCUCCCAUCUCCUUCACCAACCUGUGUCGAGGAGUUCCACAGGGGAAUGUUGCAGAUCUCCAUCUUUUCGGACCAGGCUCUUCAUGGCGUGACACCCUGAAGCCGAGACGAUCCAAGCCGAUACGGGCCAGGCGGUCUCGCUUCAUCGUGUGAGGCGGCGCUUUCCUCGAAAGAUGGUCGGGAAGCUCAAGCAGAACUUGUUGCUGGCCUGCCUGGUGAUCAGUUCGGUGACCGUCUUCUACCUGGGCCAACACGCCAUGGAGUGCCAUCACCGAAUCGAGGAACGGAGCCCGCCCGCCCGCCCGGAACAGGUGCGGGCCACAUCCGGCGCCCGGCUGAGCGGGAAGGAGAACACCACGCGGGCUUACCACAAAGACAUGCCUUUGAUAUUCAUCGGAGGGGUGCCCCGGAGCGGCACCACCUUGAUGCGGGCCAUGCUGGACGCCCACCCGGACAUCCGAUGCGGGGAGGAGACGCGGGUGAUCCCUCGUAUCUUGGCCGUCAAGCAGAUGUGGGCUCGUUCGAGCAAGGAGAAGCUCCGACUCGACGAGGCCGGCGUGACGGACGAGGUCUUGGAUUCGGCGAUGCAGGCCUUCUUGUUGGAGAUCAUCGUGAAGCACGGGGAGCCGGCCCCUUAUCUCUGCAACAAGGACCCCUUUGCCCUCAAGUCCUUGACUUAUCUCGCGCGGAUCUUCCCCAACGCCAGGUUCAUCCUGAUGCUCCGAGACGGCCGGGCGUCGGUGCACUCCAUGAUCUCCAGGAAGGUCACCAUCGCCGGCUUUGACCUCAACAGCUACAGGGACUGCUUGACCAAGUGGAAUCGGGCCAUCGAGACCAUGUACACCCAGUGCCUGGAGGCCGGGUUGGACCGCUGCCUGAUGGUGCAUUACGAGCAGCUGGUCCUGCACCCGGAGAGGUGGAUGAGGACGCUGCUGAAGUUCCUCCACAUCCCCUGGAACCCGGCGGUCCUGCACCACGAGGAGAUGAUCGGGAAGGCUGGAGGCGUGUCUCUUUCCAAAGUCGAGAGGUCGACAGACCAAGUGAUCAAGCCGGUCAAUGUGGAGGCCUUGUCGAAAUGGGUCGGGAAGAUCCCCGCCGACGUCCUCCAGGACAUGCCAGUGAUUGCCCCGAUGCUGGCCAAACUGGGCUACGACCCCCAUGCCAACCCGCCCAGCUACGGCAAACCAGAUCCCAAAGUGCUUGAGAAUACCAGAAGGGUCUACAAAGGGGAAUUUCAACUACCUGACUUCCUUAAAGACGUGCCACAGCCCCAGAGGAGAGUAGCAAGGAGGUCCCGGGUCAAGAUAAAAUGAACGAGACAGAUGCGGUGAAAUAGAAGACGUGGUGGUGCUGAACGGACAGAAAUGGACUGUUGACUGCCUCUUUCAGGGAAGCACCGCGGCAAGAUCAGCAAAGAAUUAGCUGGGCUGCUUGUUGAAAAUAUUUUUCAUACUGUGGUCUUUUUUUAUUUUUAUUUUUUAAAUGUGGUUUGGAUUUUUCUUUUUAAUCAACACACGUAAAUCUUUGCACUUAUGUGUGCCUAGUUUUUGCACUGUGGUCUCCAAAGUAAAGGCAAAAUGUGCCAUCGAGUCAGUGUCAACUUCUGGCUACCACAGAGCCCUGUGGUUGUUUUUGGUAGAAUACAGGAGAGGUUUACCAUUGUCUUCUCCCACGUAGUAUGAGAUGAUGCCUUUCAGCACCUUCCUAUAUCGCUGCUGCCUGAUACAGGAGUUUCCCAUAGUCUGGGAAACAUACUAGCAGGGAUUUGAACCAGCAACCCAGUAUGAUUUGAACUAGCAACCCAGUAUGAUCCCAGCAGGAUUCUGGAAGAGGGAACGAUUCUGUGGGAGGCUUCUCCUGCGUCAGCCCCAUUAGAGUCAGCGGGAGCAGUGCACGGAGCACACGGAUGCACAGCUAUCCUGUGCAGGAGAUGCUCCCAGUAGAUUGAGCCUUUGUGGAAAACCUUUGUGGAAAACCUCUGAAUAGUUACUGGAAAUCCUGUGCAAUUCUUUCCCCUUUGGUGUGCACAACUGUUUUAAAAAAGCACGGAGGAGAGAGUGUUUGGGUUGAGCUGGAGAAGGCUGUUCUGCUGUUUCCCCUUCUCUCUGUUUAGCUUUUGCACCUUUGUUUUUUCCAAGAGCGGAUUUCUAAACCAUAUUGGUGAGAUUUUGGAAAGGAAGACCUGCAUUUGUCUCCAAGAUAUUCGGCCCCUGCUCUCUGAUCUUGCUGGGUACAGGGUCCUCUGUCAAGUAGAAAGAAAGCCUGGACUUCACCCCCCACACCAGCAGUUCAGAAUUCCUCCUUAUAUUUUUACAGAAUUCACCCUCCCUCCAGUCCUGAUGAUGUACUUGCUCUGAGGAAGGCAAUUCCCAACAUCUUGAGCCAGAGAUCCUCAGACUUGGGUCCACAGAUGUUGUUGGACUACAGCUCCCAAGGGCCCCUGGCCAUUUUGGCUGGGGAUGACGGGGUUUGUAAUCCAAUAUUUGGGGAUUAUUUGGGGACUCAUGGCCAAGAAAAUCUGACCUAAAGACAUACUCCCUGAGAAAUGGGCACAAUGUGGUCUUGAGGGAGGUCUGAAUGCCCCCGCUCCCUCCUUCUGUCCUUUGUCCAGCCUGGGCUUGAGCAUUGCCAUCUUGAAUCUGUGGGCAUGGUGGACUAUGUUUCCCAGGGCAUAACCCAGAUCUAAGCAAGCAGAGCUGCCUUCUUUGCUCUACAGAGUACACCAGACUGCAUAUCUUAAUUUCCACAUAUUCCAGACAGAUACAUUUGUCUUCUGCCCAGCCUGGAAUUGAGCACUGCCAUCUUGGGUCUGUGAAGCAUGGUGGACUACACUUCCCAGGGGCCAGCCCACACUCAAACUAGCAGGUCUGCCUUCUUUGCUCUACUGAGCAUACCAGACUGCGUGUCUUAAUUUCUACAUAUCUCCAGAUAUCAUUAGCAGAGCCAGACUUUUCCCCUUAAAUAAAUCUUCCUUUCAAUUUCCUUUUCAAUUUCUCCCCCAGCCAAACAAUAAUAAUUGUGGGAAGUUGCAAUUCAGAUAACAGACUUUAUUGCACCCCCUCCCAGAUGGAUGAUGUACAAUGACAAAGAUCGCUGAACACCUCUAAAGGGAUGUGCUCACAGACCAGCCAGGAAUAGCCCCAGGUAAUCAAUUGGGGUUUUCUUUCUGAAUCCCACACAGUAUAUUUUCCCCACUCACAUUUGUGGCUCAGAAAUCCAGCUGAUUUCUGAGCUGAUCCAUGAGAGCUGAGAGCUGAUCCAUGCCUGGGUUGUCUGCUUCUGCUUGAGUGGGACGAAUCUUUGUUGUUGUUUUUUAAUUUGUUGAGAACAGUUUAUGUAUCUAGGUGUUUUUGUUUUUAUGGAUGUGCAAAAAUGAUUUUGCUUUUAAUUAUUUAAAAAGAAAAGUAUGAUUUCUGAAAUGUGGAGAAAUGACUCGUUUGUUUACAAUCCAAUGACCUUUUGUAUUUUAUUUUUCAAAAUAAAUGCUUUAAAUGUGA